AUGGGACAACACUGUCAUUUUCCUGAUUUAAAGCCUCUUCUUCAGAUUGAUUUAUUCUGCACUAAAAGCAUAUUCUCCCUAGGCUGCCCACUAGCACUUGCUUCUAACUGCUUGGGGAGAUCUCCUCUGGAGUGGCACUCUCAAGGGUGGGUAGAGCAUGCUGGAGCUCUGGCAGGCUGUGCACCAGCAGCAGCAGCGGCAGCGGCAGCAGCAGCAGCAGCAGCAGUGGCAGCUCCAGCAUUGAGGCUGAGAGCAGGAGACGGCCUGCCAGGGGAGGCGAUGAUGCCAAGAGCUGUUGUAUCAUUACAAAGCCUCUCUUUCCACUAUAAAUUAUACAUUACGUCUUGAAAUCUUAACUCUGGUGUUUCCAAACCUUUUAGAUGUCACCUGAGUGAAUUGCCACGCUUGUUUUAGUGGACAUAGAUCUUUUUAGGACAGGAUAUUUUUGUAUGAUGUGGUAAUAUGCUAAGAUAAAACUCAUAAGAAACCCUCGGGAA